rnacentral:tRNA from 1 species
GCCGGGAUGGCGGAAUGGUAUACGCGGCGGACUCAAAAUCCGCUCCCCGCAAGGGGUUGAGGGUUCGACUCCCUCUCCCGGUACCA